AUGUUCACUUAUUGCUCCGUCCAGCAAUCCACAGCCCAGCCUCUUCUGUGCCCAGCCCUCUGCUGGCUGCGUGGGGAACACGCUGAGAACCUAGAAAGCCUCUGAUCUCCUGGGGAUCCAUCUGGGACACACAGACUUGUCCCUAGACCGUAACAGCCCAGAGCAGUCAGGGCUGGCAUGCCAGGGACGCCAGUCCAGCCCUGGAGAGACUGCAGGCUGGGCUAAGGGGAAACUUCCCAGAAGAGGCGCCAGCAGCAGUCACACAAACUCAGUGCCUACUGGGUACUGCCCCUCUCAGCGAUCUACCCAGCAUCCCUCACGUAACCCGCGCACCUGGCCCAGGAGGAAGGGGCCAUUACUACCCCAUGCAACAGACAAAGACAACGAUGCAGAGAGAACAUUCACUAGCCCAGGCAACACGGACAGUCAGAUCAGACGUCUGAAAACAAGUCCCUGACACCAAAUGUGGCUCCCUGAGGCUCAGCUCCAGUCCUGACCCCACCAUCACCACCUCAAAAGGCCCAGGAUCCCAGACAGAUGCCAACAUGCAGCUCAUGGGCUCCCUGCAACCUUGCUGGGUGGCCAUGCUGAGCCUACUUUACAGAUGCAGAAGCGGAGGCUCACAGAGGUCAGCUCCUCAAGAGCAGCGACCAUGAUUGUCUUGCUCCCUGCUGUACCCCAACACACGCGACACUGUCCAGCCGCUAGUGAGUCACUGUGGACCACCUGGUCAACAGGCACAUCACUGUUAAGGCAGCACGGCCCCUGCACACCUCCCGGCAGCACCGAAGAAUCAGGAGGAACACGGGGGACAGCGCCCACAGGCUGAGAGUGACCCGGUGACCCCGAGGACAGAGAGGAGGUGGACUGGAGGCAUACGGGCUGCAGUCCCAGCCAGGGGCACAGCCGCCUCUGAAGUACAGUGUUUGAUCCUCAAAAUGCAGGCACAUUUGUAUCCUA